CAGCUGUGAACUGGCACAGUGGCAAACUUUCCUCAGAACUGCUUUCAUGUAGUCCGGGAGCUCCCAAGGAAUCCUGGGCCACACCAGAAGUCUUAUUCUUCUACAUGGCAAACUUCCAAGAAAAAAAGAACAAGGAACUGGACAUAUACUAUCAUAGUUUGAGCAGCUGCUGAGAGAAGAUGGACUACAUCAGACCGAGACAGUGGAACAGCGCUUUCACUGGGAUCCUAAACAAAGAGG